rnacentral:rRNA from 1 species
AGAGUUUGAUCCUGGCUCAGAUUGAACGCUGGCGGCAGGCCUAACACAUGCAAGUCGAGCGGAAACGAGUUAUCUGAACCUUCGGGGGACGAUAACGGCGUCGAGCGGCGGACGGGUGAGUAAUGCCUAGGAAAUUGCCCUGGUGUGGGGGAUAACCAUUGGAAACGAUGGCUAAUACCGCAUAAUACCUUCGGGUCAAAGAGGGGGACCUUCGGGCCUCUCGCGUCAGGAUAUGCCUAGGUGGGAUUAGCUAGUUGGUGAGGUAAUGGCUCACCAAGGCGACGAUCCCUAGCUGGUCUGAGAGGAUGAUCAGCCACACUGGAACUGAGACACGGUCCAGACUCCUACGGGAGGCAGCAGUGGGGAAUAUUGCACAAUGGGCGCAAGCCUGAUGCAGCCAUGCCGCGUGUGUGAAGAAGGCCUUCGGGUUGUAAAGCACUUUCAGUCGUGAGGAAGGUAGUGUAGUUAAUAGCUGCAUUAUUUGACGUUAGCGACAGAAGAAGCACCGGCUAACUCCGUGCCAGCAGCCGCGGUAAUAC